rnacentral:rRNA from 1 species
GACGAACGCUGGCGGCGUGCCUAAUACAUGCAAGUUGGGCGCUGAAGGUUGGUACUUGUACCAACUGGAUGAGCAGCGAACGGGUGAGUAACGCGUGGGGAAUCUGCCUUUGAGCGGGGGACAACAUUUGGAAACGAAUGCUAAUACCGCAUAAAAACUUUAAACACAAGUUUUAAGUUUGAAAGAUGCAAUUGCAUCACUCAAAGAUGAUCCCGCGUUGUAUUAGCUAGUUGGUGAGGUAAAGGCUCACCAAGGCGAUGAUACAUAGCCGACCUGAGAGGGUGAUCGGCCACAUUGGGACUGAGACACGGCCCAAACGCCUACGGGAGGCAGCAGUAGGGAAUCUUCGGCAAUGGACGAAAGUCUGACCGAGCAACGCCGCGUGAGUGAAGAAGGUUUUCGGAUCGUAAAACUCUGUUGGUAGAGAAGAACGUUGGUGAGAGUGGAAAGCUCAUCAAGUGACGGUAACUACCCAGAAAGGGACGGCUAACUACGUG